rnacentral:rRNA from 1 species
GACGAACGCUGGCGGCGUGCUUAACACAUGCAAGUCGAACGAAGUGGCGAACGGGUGAGUAACGCGUAAUCAACCUGCCCUUCAGAGGGGGACAACAGUUGGAAACGACUGCUAAUACCGCAUACUGAAGGAGGGGCUUGCGUCUGAUUGGCUAGUUGGAGGGGUAACGGCCCACCAAGGCGAAGAUCAGUAGCCGGGCUGGGAGGAUGAACGGCCAAAUUGGGACUGGGACACGGCCCAGACUCCUACGGGAGGCAGGAGGGGGGAAUCUUCCGCAAUGGACGAAAGGCUGACGGGGCAACGCCGCGUGAGUGAUGACGGCUUUCGGGUUGGAAAGCUCUGUUAAUCGGGACGCGGUACCGGAAUAGAAAGCCACGGCUAACUACGUGCCAGCAGCCGCGGUAAUUC